UAAGGGGAUACGAAAUUUUUUCAUUAAAGAAGUUGUUAUCAGAGCAAGCUCUCUUUAGUGCUGGCAUCAGUUUGGCCGACCCCAAAGGUGAGAAUUUCUCUAAUCUUUUUGAUGCUUGCUCUUCUUAUUUUUACAGAUGUUGUCUUCUUCUUUAUUGUAGAAAUGAAGUCUGAAGAAGUGAAGAGGCUGAUGAGAGAUUCGUUGAAGAGGAAGGUGCCCUCUUCAUCUACCGAUGUUCAAAAAAAGCCCAAGGCUUCGAGCGAGAGUUACAA
rnacentral:lncRNA from 1 species